rnacentral:lncRNA from 1 species
CACAAACUUAGGGUUUAGAGUUAAAGAGUGGGGUUUAGGGUUUAGGGUUUAGGAUUUAGAGUUUAGGGUUUAGGGUUUAGGGUUUAGGGUUUAUAGUUUAUAGUUUAGGGUUUAGGGUUUAGAGUUUAGGGUUUAGGGUUUAGGGUUUAGAGUUUAGGGUUUAGGGUUUAGAGUUGAGAAAUGAAGUUUUGGGAUAAGAUUUCAAAUUUUGAAAAAUAAAAAAAUUAAAAUUUUCAAAAGAUAAAAUGCUAUUUUGGUCAUUUUCUUUUAGUUUUUGAGUGCUAUUUUUGUGAUAUAAACUUAGAAAUGUGCUAUUUUGGAAAUUUGCCCUUAAAAAUAUUCUCAACUAAAAAAAGUUAAGCAAGAGUCUUUAGUAUAAUUUAUUUACUAGGG